rnacentral:rRNA from 1 species
UACUCCUACGGGGGGCAGCAGUGGGGAAUAUUGCACAAUGGGCGAAAGCCUGAUGCAGCAACGCCGCGUGAACGAAGAAGGCUCUUGGGUCGUAAAGUUCUGUUCUGAGGGAAGAAGAAAGUGACGGUACCUCAGGAGAAAGCCCCGGCUAACUAUGUGCCAGCAGCCGCGGUAAUACAUAGGGAGCGAGCGUUAUCCGGAUUUAUUGGGUGUAAAGGGUGCGUAGACGGGAAUACAAGUUGGUUGUGAAAGCCCUCGGCUUAACUGAGGAACUGCAACCAAAACUAUAUUUCUUGAGUAUCGGG